rnacentral:rRNA from 1 species
GACGCACGCUGUCGGCGUGCUUAACACAUGCAAGUCGAGCGGAGCGGCUAACGGGUGAGUAACGCGUGAGUAACUGCCCCCCUCUCUGGGAUAACAGUUUGAAACGGCUUCUAAUACAGGUUAGUGGGGGAUGACUCGCGUCCUAUCUGCUUGUUGGUGGGGUAGUGGCCUACCAAGGCGACGACGGGUAGCCGGCCUGAGAGGGCGACCGGCCACAUAGGGCUGGUAUACCGCCCGAACUCCUACGGGAGGCAGCAGUGGGGAAUAUUGCACAAUGGGGGAAACCCUGAUGCAGCAACGCGAGUGUUGGAUGACGGCCUUCGGGUUGUAAACCGCUUUCAGCCAUGACGCGGUAGUGGCAGAAGAAGCACCGGCUAACUACGUGCCAACAGCCGCGGUAAUAC